UCCAUUUUAGGACAUCUGGAUUGGUUAC
rnacentral:piRNA from 1 species